rnacentral:rRNA from 1 species
GGUGAACGCUGGCGGCGUGCUUAAGACAUGCAAGUCGAACGGCAGUCUUCGGACUGUAGUGGCGCACGGGUGAGUAACGCGUAACUGACCUACCCCAAAGUCGCGGAUAACGAUUCGAAAGAAUCGCUAAUACGUGAUGUGCUGUCAGAUUGUGUUCUGCCAGUAAAGAUUGAUUGCUUUGGGAUGGGGUUGCGUUCCAUCAGCUAGUUGGUGGGGUAAAGGCCCACCAAGGCGACGGCGGAUAGCCGGCCUGAGAGGGUGGCCGGCCACAGGGGCACUGAGACACGGGUCCCACUCCUACGGGAGGCAGCAGUUAGGAAUCUUCCACAAUGGGCGAAAGCCUGAUGGAGCGACGCCGCGUGAGGGAUGAAGGUCUUCGGAUCGUAAACCUCUGAAUCAGGGACGAAAGACACUUCGGUGGGAUGACGGUACCUGAGUAAAAGCACCGGCUAACUCCGUGCCAGCCGCCGCCGUAAUAC